rnacentral:rRNA from 1 species
AACGAACGCUGGCGGCAGGCUUAACACAUGCAAGUCGAGCGCCCCGCAAGGGGAGCGGCAGACGGGCGAGUAACGCGUGGGAAUCUACCCAUCUCUACGGAAUAACGCAUGGAAACGUGUGCUAAUACCGUAUACGUCCUUCGGGCGAAAGAUUUAUCGGAGAUGGAUGAGCCCGCGUUGGAUUAGCUAGUUGGUGGGGUAAAGGCCUACCAAGGCGACGAUCCAUAGCUGGUCUGAGAGGAUGAUCAGCCACACUGGGACUGAGACACGGCCCAGACUCCUACGGGAGGCAGCAGUGGGGAAUAUUGGACAAUGGGCGCAAGCCUGAUCCAGCCAUGCCGCGUGAGUGAUGAAGGCCCUAGGGUUGUAAAGCUCUUUCACCGGUGAAGAUAAUGACGGUAACCGGAGAAGAAGCCCCGGCUAACUUCGUGCCAGCCGCCGCUGUAAGAC